AAGACCUUGCGCUUUUGGAGCGGCCGAUGCCUGAUUAGCUUGUUGGUAAGGUAAAAGCUUACCAAGGCUUCGAUCAGUAGCUGGUCUGAGAGGACGGCCAGCCACACUGGGACUGAGACACGGCCCAGACUCCUACGGGAGGCAGCAGUGGGGAAUUUUGGACAAUGGGGGCAACCCUGAUCCAGCCAUGCCGCGUGAGUGAAGAAGGCCUUCGGGUUGUAAAGCUCUUUCAGCCGGAACGAAACGGUUACGGUUAAUACCCGUGACUACUGACGGUACCGGAAGAAGAAGCACCGGCUAACUACGUGCCAGCAGCCGCGGUAAUACGUAGGGUGCGAGCGUUAAUCGGAAUUACUGGGCGUAAGGCGUGCGCAGGUGGUUUUGUAAGUCAGAUGUGAAAGCCCCGGGCUCAACCUGGGAACU
rnacentral:rRNA from 1 species